UGUGGGGCGGAUAGAACCAGAUAAGGCUCGGUGCCCUCUUCAGUCCUCUCCCUCUCAACUGAGUCGGAACACAGUGACGGCACCCUUCCAUGUCCACUGCUCAGUAAUUCUCUCCCAUUUCGCUCUUCGUUCCAGUCAUGGCCUCCAAACUUCUUCCUCAGGCUCUGAUUGUUACCCCAAGAAACCCUCACCAAUGUCCCCAAAAGAACAUGAGUUUUGCUACGCGUGUUUCCGGCCUUCCCUCCUCGUUCAAGUCUGGUGCUCGGACUUCCGUCUCUAGGGUUUCUUCGUUCUCGAUUGGCUUGAAUUUGAAUCCCAUGUUCUCGGUGGCACCCAAACGGGUUUUUUUUGUCAGAGCUGAAUCAAAUCCUGAAGCUGAAGGGGAAACCAAUGCAGAAGUAGAGGUGAAUGAGAAUGUUGAAGAGAAGGAAGAGGUUGAUGUUGAAGAAUCUACUCAAGUAGAGACUGAAGUUCAGUCUGAGGAAGCCAAGCCGCCUAGGAAGCCUCGAAUUAAGCUCGGAGAUAUAAUGGGGAUAUUGAAUACAAGGGCAGUCGAGGCGUCAGAGAAGGAGAGGCCAGUUCCAGACCUUAGAACUGGAGAUAUUGUGGAAAUUAAAUUGGAAGUUCCUGAAAAUAGGCGGAGGUUGUCUGUCUACAAAGGUAUUAUUAUAUCAAGACAAAAUGCUGGUAUUCACACAACAAUUCGAAUUCGGAGAAUUAUCGCUGGUGUAGGGGUUGAGAUUGUUUUCCCUAUUUACUCGCCAAAUAUCAAAGAAAUCAAAGUAUUAAAGCACAGGAAAGUCAGGAGGGCGAGGCUGUACUAUCUGAGAGACAAGCUUCCCAGACUCUCCACUUUUAAAUGAAGAACAUCUGUGCAACUAAUCUUUCUCUGUUUUCCCUUUCAGACUAAUUUAUUGAGUUUUGAUCAGAAGUUGUAUAACUUGCAGUAAUCCAUCCAUUAAUCCGUUCUGUUGUAAUAUAAUAUCCCUUCAAUGAAGAGGUCGCCUAUCUGCAACACCAA